ensembl:lncRNA
GGUCAGACAGUCAUGGGGUUAACAGGGUCAGACAGUCAUGGGGUUAACAGGGUCAGACAGUCAUAGGGUUAACAGGGUCAGACAGUCAUGGUCAGACAGUCAUAGGGUUAACAUGGUCAGACAGUCAUGGUCAGACAGUCAUAGGGUUAACAUGGUCAGACAGUCAUAGGGUUAACAGGGUCAGACAGUCAUAGGGUUAACAGGGUCAGACAGUCAGGGUCAGACAGUCAUAGUGGAUCAGACAGUCAUACGGUUAACAUGGUCAGACAGUCAUGGUCAGACAGUCAAAGGAUUAACAGGGUCAGACAGUCAUAGGAUUAACAGGGUCAGACAGUCAUAGGAUUAACAGGGUCAGACAGUCAUAGGGUUAACAUGGUCAGACAGUCAUAGGGUUAACAUGGUCAGACAGUCAUAGGGUUAACAUGGUCAGACAGUCAUAGGGUUAACAUGGUCAGACAGUCAUAGGGUUAACAUGGUCAGA